UACAUGUCAGAUUCGGUAAAAUGGUCU
rnacentral:piRNA from 1 species